GUACGGAGUUGACCCUUGAUGAAUCUCUAUGGAAACAAAGAGAGGAUUUAAACCCUACAGUUAGAUUUAGGGAGAUCAUCUCCCAGCUCUUGACCCUUCACGAAGGGCCCAUUACUAAGUUCACCCUCGACAUCGUUCAUCUAAAAAGGCUUCCUGAAAUUGACGACUUCAUUUAUUUCCUCAGGAAUCACAUUCAAGAUCUUGUUCUGCGCCUUCCAUUGAGAAA
rnacentral:misc_RNA from 1 species